CCUACGGGAGGCUGCAGUGGGGAAUAUUGGACAAUGGGGGGAACCCUGAUCCAGCGACGCCGCGUGAGUGAAGAAGUAUUUCGGUAUGUAAAGCUCUAUCAGCAGGGAAGAAAGAAAUGACGGUACCUGACUAAGAAGCCCCGGCUAACUACGUGCCAGCAGCCGCGGUAAUACGUAGGGGGCAAGCGUUAUCCGGAUUUACUGGGUGUAAAGGGAGCGUAGACGGCGAUGCAAGUCUGAAGUGAAAGGCGGGGGCACAACCCCCGGACUGCUUUGGAAACUGUAUGGCUGGAGUGCAGGAGAGGUAAGUGGAAUUCCCAGUGUAGCGGUGAAAUGCGUAGAUAUUAGGAGGAACACCAGUGGCGAAGGCGGCUUACUGGACUGUAACUGACGUUGAGGCUCGAAAGCGUGGGGAGCAAACAGGAUUAGAUACCCUUGUAGUC
rnacentral:rRNA from 1 species